rnacentral:lncRNA from 1 species
GUGCUAGGCAGGCGCCAGCAUGGCCGCCAGUUGGCCAGUGUGGUAGCGUAUUACGGUUUAAUGGUUUAUGCAUAGGAAUUUUCAGAGGUGUCAUGGCGGGUAGAUUCUCUGCAUGAUGGUAGUCGCAGAAAACACGUUGUAUGCUGAAGCAGGAAAUUCCCGUAGUUUGGUCGUAUAUCGUCGAUCUUAGCAUCAACCGUCGACCGUUAACAGGAAUUGAGUAGGCACCUCUACAUAAUCCUACCUGAUCGUUGCUGCAAAUUAACAUUCUACCCAAUGUGUGGAAUGUGAUAUUCUUGGCCUCGAAACCCCAGCUGCCCUUUGCUUCAACAAGGGUAUAAAGCAAUGAUAAUUCCAGGAGGUCCUAACUCAGUUUACGAGGUUGAUGACCCACUAUACGGCACAGCAAUCUUUAGGCUGUGGUCUUCCAGUGCUGGGAAUUUGUUACGGCAAACAUGGAAAUGUAUACAUAAGGUCCCAAUUCAGUUUACGUGGCGGAUGCCCCACUAUACGACCCAACAAUCUUUAUAUGCGGUCUUCCAAUGCCGAUCACACUUUUAUCAUUCAAAUUGUUUUUUUCAGCAGUAUUUAACAGGUGGAUCGGUGGAGAGAAAAGAUGUUCGCGAUGGGUAAUUCGAGAUCCAAGUAGGAACGGGAGUCUCCAUUGUUUAGAGACGCGGCAAAUGGUAUUACUGACCCAUGGUGGCAGCGUAGACAAGUUUGUAGAAGGGUUGCGUUGCGUCGCAAAAUCUUCGCGUCAUAUUAUUGCUGAUAUUACUGAGUCCAGUUCCAUGAUUUGAUUGGAAACGGACGAAAAGUAUUGCGUAACUUCUUGUUCGACAUCUGUGGAUUGCGAGGAGGUUUUACAUUGGAGAAACGCGAGCAGCAGUGUAAAGAUUACAUCCGGCGUAUGGUUGGACGUGAUAAGAUCGCGCUCGUGCUGGUAAGGGGCGGAGCAGAUUCCGUCGUUUGUGCUGCCCUUCUCCAUAUAUCACUUCUCCAGGGUGACGACUCGUCGCGAGUGCAGGCCAUCCUCAUCGAUGACGGUUUUCUGCGUAAAGACGAAUCCGAGCAGGUCGUCACUAGUUUACUCAAGCUUGGGCUCAAUCUUCGGGCAGCGGCUUCUCAUUUCUUCAUGUCAGCGAUCAAUUGCUUUAGGUUGUUAAAGCAAGUUUGACUUUCUACGAUGCUUCCACCAACGUGCCUGGUCGCCAAACUUUGUCGUUGUAUCGGACGGUUAAACUGUGUAAAAUCGUCGGAUUAUUGGGGAUACAUUUGUCAUUUGCCCAGUGGCAAAUCUCACUUGGGAUAAUCUACUUCUCAAACAAGGUGCUUUCCGCUUUGAGACCGAAUUUUAUUGAGCCCGCUUCACAUAGGGCUUCUUCGCGUGCUGGUUUCAUAAAGACUCAUCAUAACGAUUCCGAAAUGGUUCGUCAGUUGCGUCUUCACUCCGUGUAGUAGAACCUCUUUAAGAUGCCACCCAAAAACAAGCGGAAGACCAUUCGAGGCGUUCGACAGUUCGUGAGCAGACGUACCGUUGAAACAGCCUUGCGCAGUCUAGCUGCAUCCAGCCAGGUCCUAUAUACUUAGUAGGACCCGAAACAAAAGUUUUAAGAAGUACUGUCUGAUUUUUCGGUUCAAGUCUAUUUAUAUGCCAGAACUAAAAUUGUACUUUUAGAAUUUUUAUUAACAAUAGUUUACUUUUACAAUUAUAAAAUUCUUGUUAACCAUCUAAAGGAGAACAAAGCCAUUUUUUAGAUUAACAGAAUUUCAACUUCCGGUUUUACUUCCGGUUUAAAAUGCAAAAUAACUCAUUAUUUGUAGGUCUAGCAGAAAAAAGAUUCACAUUUUCGUGAUCCUCGUCAAAUUUCGUAUCGACUUCAUCCAUAAGCUAAAAAUACCCGAAAUCGUCGAAAAUCGCAAAUUUUCCUGAACUAUAACUAUUGUUCAUGAAAAAUCGCGAUUUUGGUCAAAUCCGACUUUUGGCUGAAAACAUGUCAUUCCGUCCCCAAAUUUGAUAGGGAUCAUGAAAAUCCUACUCGUUUUGUUAUGAAAUCACUAUUUCCGUAGAUAUUGGCUACUUCCGGUAAAUUUUCGCGACAAUUUGCAUUAAGUAAAACAUGAGCUGUAUUAUUCUAACAACUUUAAAUGUUUUUCUUGCAUGCAUUAGGGUGUUGCAGCUUUUAUUCCCUUUUUUUCUUUCUAUCAAAAGUACAGGCUAACCCUACGAACAACGACAGUUUUAGCUACAAAUAUUUUAGCACCUGGUCUUGCAACUAGUAGUUGAUAUUCUAGGUUUUUAAAUUUAAAAUUGGAAUCAACUGCCUAAGGAGGAAAAACUAGAUGGCGUUGACGUACACUUUUAUAAAGAUCACGAAUGACAAGUAAAAUGCGUAUAAUCAAUCAAUGCUGGCUGUUCUACACUUGGGGAAUAAUAGUUCAGUGAUUGGGUUCAACACCACUCCAAUCCAUAGUGGCAAUUUUCAUUUCCGUGCAAGUGCCCUUCUAACUUUUGACAUAGCAAGGUGAAGAGAAAACAGGGAUUUGCAUGGAUUAAUCCUUGGAAGUAUUCCGUGUCUCAGUGAAGUUCACAAAAUACAAAUCAGUUUACAAUUGGCAUUGUGACAAAUGAUAGAAGGUUAAGACUCUCCACAUUGAACUCACUCACCAAUAAAAUAAAAAUAAAUACCUGUCGAAAUGUUGCCUACACUACGAGUUAUUCUUGAAUUCUUGAUUUCAUAUCAAAGAAAAGGUGCCCCUGUUUUGACCACAGGCUUCUUGGAACAAGGUGUGACUUGCAAGAAUAUGAAAUGUAGUUGAACCAUGGAAUUGAAUGAAAUUGGUACGAAAUGUUAAACAGAAUAUCGUGAAGUAUUCAUUCCGUAAGGUGGAAAAGUGCUAUGCGGUGGACUCCAUAGUUUUUUUGUUUUGUUUUUUUUUAUAUUUAUGAUACUUAAUCUUUUCUAUUGCUUCAGAUGUAAAGCAUCGAUCCCGUCAAAUGUUUUGCUCAUGUUUGCAUCUAAGGUCGAAAAUGGAAAUAUAACGAAACCAAUUAAAACAGAUAUGACUACCUGAUAUUAGUGACAUGUCAUGUCUAUACGGUCAAAAAGAAGUCUCCGUGCUCUUUAAACAAAUUUUGCUGCACCGAGCUCGGAAUUUUCCGAGAUGUAAAUUGUGAUUCCCCAUGGGUUUUCUUAAAAAACCUUUUUAUGUUGACGUAGUAAGAGCUUCUAAUUCUAAUGCCAGAGUUCGUACGUUAUGAUUUCGUGAUCGUUUUAUGUCAACUAACGACGAAAGAUGUCAUGUAACUAUAUUUUGACGUGUCAAAAAAUUGUACACGGCUAGAGAUGCUGCAUUUUCGAAGAAAGCUACUUCCACAUCACCGUUGGUCGCUGAUUUGUCCCGAAGAUGAAAUUUUAAUAAAUUGAAGUGCAUAUCUGGGCUCUC